rnacentral:misc_RNA from 1 species
GGAAGGAUCAUUCCAGGAAAAGGGGGGGUGGUGCGAAAGCGCGCCUCACCUUUUUACUAUUCAAAACCUGUGUUGAAGUGGUGGGAGAGAGUGGUUGGAGGGAUUUAGUAGGGAUUGAUUUCUCUAUUGAAUCCGCCGGCCGCCCUCCCCCUACCAACUACCAAAUCUCCAAAUCCAUACCGAAUCUGAUCCAUGAGGAUGUCAAAACCCCUCAAACACAACAAACAGUAACACAACUGUUGGCAACGGAUCACUCGGCUCUCGUGUCGAUGAAGAGCGUAGCGAAUUGCGAAAAGUAAUGCGAUCUGCAACCAUCGUGAAUCAUUGAAUUCUUGAACGCACCUGGCACCUUUUGGGUCAUCCAAAAGGUCAGUGUGGGUGAGUGUUGAUUUUAUAUUCUCGAGUGGGGUUUUCUCCACUUGGAUCUGGGCGUGUUGGCUACCUGGUAGUCAUGGCCUGAAAUGAGUAUCGCCAGUGGGAAAGGAGUGUUUUUUCUACUCAAACGUUCCACUUGUUUGCCUCGGAUGUUUUCAAUCGGACCAUGGUCAGGUCUGUUUCUGUUGCUCUCGGGUGACAGGGAACAUCGGAUACGGUGGCAAGUGAAUCGGGAAAAAGCCAGUACUAAAACUACCCCUGCCCUUGCUGAUUUUCAGCUACUUUUGGCAUGAAGUCGGGAGAUUCCUAGGAACCUUUCAACUCUUGGUGGUGGCCAGAGGCGCCUUACGGCACCUCCACCCACCCCCAGACCACACCCAAAACCCAAUCUCACCUCACACUGGACUACCCGCUGAACUUAAGCAUAUCAAUAAGCGGAGGAAAAGAAACCAACAGGGAUUCCCCUAGUAACGGCGAGUGAAGCGGGAAAAGCUCAAAUUGGGAAUCGAGUCGUGCAUGUAGCCGCGGUCUCGACGUGUCAUUUGAUGAACCGUAGUUCGGCAGCAGCCUGGGUCAAAGUCCUCUGGAAAGGGGCGUCAUGGAGGGUGAUAAUCCCGUCUAUGGCCCAUGAGAGCUUGUCUGUCAUCCUGUGAACUUGGUUCGGCGAGUCGGGUUGUUUGGGAAUGCAGCCCAAAGCGGGUGGUAAACUCCAUCUAAGGCUAAAUACUGGCGAGAGACCGAUAGCGAACAAGUACCGUGAGGGAAAGUUGAAAAGCACUCUGAAGAGAGAGUCAAACAGUACGUGAAAUUGCCAACAGGGAAACGAUGGGCGUCAGUACGCGCCUUGAGCGGGAUCAAAUGUGGAGUAGUGUGCCGGGUUUUGUGGAUUUGUACUGUUUUUCAGUCAACCAGGAGAUCGUGGCGUGGUGCGCAGCAUUGUACUCUCAGCUCAUGGGCGGGUCAACAUCGGUUGGAAGUGAGUGAUAUGGGUGGAGGCAAGGUGUCUGUGAUUUCGGUUGCAGAUCUUAUAGGCCUCCAUUUCUAGCUUACUUCCGACCGAGGGAACAGUCGCGGUGUGUGUCUUUUAAGGCGGAGUGCUUGGGUACAUAGAGGCCGGUGGCGGGGUGACAGCCUAGCUGAUGCCAACUUCCCGACAACUACAAUACCCAACCACUACCAACACACCAAGGAUGUUGACGAAAUGGCGCUCAACGACCCGUCUUGAAACACGGACCAAGGGAGUCCAACCGUAGUGCGAGUAUUUGGGUGUCAAACCCGGAUGCGCAAUGAAAGUGACCUGGGCAGGAAGCGUGUACUCGCAGCACUGCCGACCGAUCCUUAUGUAGGGCCUCACGGCCCCACGGAUUUGAGUAGGAGCACUACGGAUGGGACCCGAAAGAUGGUGAACUAUGCCCGAGUAGGAUGAAGCCAGAGGAAACUCUGGUGGAGGUCCGCAGCGGUUCUAACGUGCAAAUUGAUCGUCAAACUUGGUAUAGGGGCGAAAGACUAAUCGAACCAUCUAGUAGCUGGUUCCCGC